rnacentral:lncRNA from 11 species
UUUAUACUCUUGGUAAUUGGCUCACAAUCCUGGAAUGGACAUUUAGAUUCUCUCUUGUGCUGUUCUGGUAAUGUUUGCAUCUCUAUUGGACCAUAGGAUUGACCUUGGACAGAGUACUUUUUGCUGUAUUUCUGACACUGGGUAUAUUGAUAUUUAUCAGUUCAUAGAUGAAGAUGGAAGAUAUGCAUUCAUGGUAAGUUUGCUGUAUCUAGAAGAAGGUAUAUUGGUGAUAAAUCUGGAAGACAGUAAAUGUAAGUUGUGGUGAGUGUUUAUGCUAAUUGAAGUACUUUUGAAAACAUUACAAAAUAAGGUAUACAAUAGCCUUUUCAGUAACAGGUGUUUUUUUUUUUUCCAGCUCUUGGUCAAUGCAUUUAGGCCCCUGCCCUCCAGAUAUUUGAUGGCUGCUCCCAG